AACGCGAAGAACCUUACCUGGGUUUGACAUGGCCGCAAAACUGUCAGAGAUGGCAGGUCCUUCGGGGGCGGUCACAGGUGGUGCAUGGCUGUCGUCAGCUCGUGUCGUGAGAUGUUGGGUUAAGUCCCGCAACGAGCGCAACCCUCGUUCGAUGUUGCCAGCGCGUUAUGGCGGGGACUCAUCGAAGACUGCCGGGGUCAACUCGGAGGAAGGUGGGGAUGACGUCAAGUCAUCAUGCCCCUUAUGUCCAGGGCUUCACGCAUGCUACAAUGGCCGGUACAAUGGGCUGCGAUACCGUGAGGUGGAGCGAAUCCCAAAAAGCCGGUCUCAGUUCGGAUCGGGGUCUGCAACUCGACCCCGUGAAGUCGGAGUCGCUAGUAAUCGCAGAUCAGCAACGCUGCGGUGAAUACGUUCCCGGGCCUUGUACACACCG
rnacentral:rRNA from 1 species